CGACAACCUCAAGAUCGUCUCGGACCUCACUGAGUCCCUCCUCUUCCAGACAGACACCUCCCUCCGUCACCAACAGCAACAGCAGCAGCAACAACACCAACACCAAGACGAUGAGGACAACGAGCUCAACUCGAUGUCUGACUGCCACAACCCUUUCCCUUCUUCUCCUCUUC
rnacentral:ribozyme from 1 species